ACAAAUAAAAAGGUUUUACAAAGGUUUGACUCUCCUUGAGUUGAUGCCAAAGGCUAGCUCUACUAAGCGACACCAAGAUUAUGGCAGAGUUGCAUGAAGAUGGGAGACAAAUAAAGAGGUUGAGUCAUUAUCCUUCUUGCCCUUAUCCAAAGCUUGUCUCACUCGUCAGUACCACACUUCGAUGCUACCGGUUUAUCAAUCCUCCUUCAACUCAACCAAGUCGAAGGUUUACAGAUUAGAAAAGAGAACAUAUGGGAUACCGUUAAACCUCUACAUAACGCCUUGGUAGUAUUGGAGACCUUUCGGAGAUAAUGAGUAAUGGGAUUUAUUGUAGCGUGGAGCACCGAGUAACAGUUUACUCAGCAAAUGAGAGGCUCUCAGUUGCUACUUUAUGAACCCUGAAAUGAAGUCAGAAAUUGGUCCCUUACUUAGCGUGAUCACACCAGAGACACCUGCAUUCAUUAUCCAGCAGAACGGUUGAGUGUGUUAUUAUGUAAACUCGAUAUCAAUCAUACCUUGACUCUAUGUUGUAAAUGGUGCUGGGCGAGGCGCCAAGCCCAGCGCCUCGCCAAGGGCUUAAGCGAGCCAAUAAAAAUUGUUUAUGGUUUGGCGCUUGGGCGCCUUUUUUUGCCAGGCGCUGGUCCUGCGCUUAGUGGGCCUUUGGUGCUUAAGCCCCAACCGCGCUCGCCUUCUGCAACAUAGCCUUGACUACAUGAGCCAUAAUGAUAUUCGUAAAUAUGAGUUAUACAGGCGGGUUAUUGUUGGCAUCACCUUCUCAUGCAGUCCGCUCUAAAGUUCGGUAUUGAAUAACUUGUAUGUAAAUGGAUUGAUGGUACAGAAACUUAUCACCUUCAAUUUGCCAUGAACGAGUUGAUGCUUUAGUUCUUUGUUUUGGGCUCACUCACAGUACUUGGCAGUCAAUUUUUAGUGGCAUUUGAUGUUGAGAUAUAUACAUAAUCUUGAUAACA